UAACACUAGAAACUGUAAAGUUUAUGUGUAAUAAAUUAUGUUCUGUAUAUUACAUGAUAAUCUAUCAAUGUUGUUUUGUGAACACAACCUCUGGUUCUAUGGAAAAAAAAACACAAACCUUGAGCACUUAAUUUGUCGGUAUGUGUGCAUUUGUGUGUAUGGGUGUGCGAUAAAUUGCAAGUGUUUCCUGUUCGCGUGUUUUCGUUUUGUGUGAAUUAUGUUAAGCAAAUUAAUUUAACAAAAAAGUUUAUUUGACUUUAUUAGAUGAUAGUAUUGAGUGUCCUACCAAGAAAAAUUGGUGCACGCUAUUAAGGGAUCUACUAAGUAAUUUGGGAUUUUAUGAUGCUUGGUUUUUUCAAGAUGUUGGAAAUGAAAAUAUGUUUGUAUCAGUCGUAAGACAAAGAUAGAGCGACAUGUUUGUACAGAAUUGGAAUGAGCGACUUCAUACUUCUACUAGGGCAAAUUUUUAUAAACAUAUCUCCGUUUUUCAAUUUCAACCGUACCUGAAUAUAUGCAAUGUCAACAAGUUUCGAGUAAAUUUAUCAAAAUUACGUAUGUCAUCACAUAGAUUAAAUAUCGAGUCAGGCAGAUGGGCUAGACCUACACCAAUUCCAUUAGAUCAAAGAAAGUGUACUGUUUGUAAUAAACUCGAAAAAUAGUUUCAUUUUAUUCUUGAAUGUACAAUAUAUACUGAACUGAGAUCAAAAUAUAUUCCAUUGUAUUACAGACAACGACCAAACAUGUACAAAUUUAUCGAGCUAAUAGAGCUAAUAACAUCAAAUAAUGAACAAUUAAUAAAAAAAUUAAGCUGUUAUAUUUAUCACUCUUUUAAUGUUCGAACGCAUAAUACAUGUGUCAUCAAUUUGAUUUAUUCUGAAAUGUUUUGUGCGGUAUAUAUCUUGUUGUAACUUUAAUUGCAUUUAUUAUGUACUGCAUAUUAAUUGUUGGGAUAGUACCGCAUAUGUAACGUGUUUUUAUUCACGUGUUUUUUAAUCUGUCUUUGUGUUUUAACGGUCGCCUUUAAUGGACUGUCAAAACUGUAUUUGAAUGUAUUUAAUCAAUUGCCAUUAUUAUCUUUUUAAUGAAGGUUAUAUUAUAGUAUCGUGUCUGUUCCUAGAUGUAUUCUACGACAAUAUGGCUGCAUUUUUAGAACUGUUAUGCACUGAUUUACAACUAUUAUGUCUGUCGGUCGGUCGGUCCGUAUACCAGGUGGUUUCCGGAUGAUAACUCAAUAACGCUUGGGCCUAGGAUCAUGAAACUUCAUAGGAACAUUGAUCAUGACUCGCAGAUGACCCCUAUUGAUUUUCAGAUCACUAGGUCAAAGGUCAAGGUCAUGGUGACCCGAAAUAGUAAAAUGGUUUCCGGAUAUCUCAAGAACGCUUAUGCCUAGGAUCAUGAAACUUCAUAGGUACAUUGAUCAUGACUCGCAGAUGACCCCUAUUGAUUUUCAGGUCACUAGGUCAAAGGUCAAGGUCACGGUGACCCGAAAUAGUAACAUGGUUUCCGGAUGAUAACUGAAGAACGCUUAUGCCUAGGAUCAUGAAACUUGAUAGGUAGAUUGAUCAGGACUCGCAGAUGACCCCUAUUGAUUUUCAGGGCACAAGGUCAAAGGUCACUGUGACAUAAAACAUAUUCACACAAUGGCUGUCACUACAACGUAGAGCCCAUAUGGGGGGCAUGCAUGUUUUACAAACAGCCCUUUUUAAUGAAACAUGUAUGAAUUGUUGCAAUGAAACGUUUUUUUUUCUUUUUUGUAAAUUCAUGUAUUAUUUAUGUUGUAAACACUGUAUGCUUACUUAGUCCACUUGGGCUUUUGGCCUUCUGGGUGUGUUGUUUAAUAAACAAUAAACAAUAUGUAAGACUUAUCAAACGUACUGAUAAAUACUAUUGUUUAUAUAGCAUUCAACAUGACUUUUGGACCAUGUAUAUGUUAAUUUCUUAGGUGACCUGUAUAGGGUUUAUACAAUGAUAUUGAAUAUAAAUUAAUAUCAAACGUUGUCUUUUCAGUGCAUUUUGUUGUGUUUGUUUAUUUAGAUAAUUGAACUGAUUUAUAACAUCCAUUUAACAAAGUUCAUUGUUUCCAGAGCCUUUGGGUUGCCUAUAUUUCCGUUUCGUAUAGGUAGACUGUAAGGGCUGACGUUUAUGCUAUUAUUACAUGCAUGUGUUUUAAUUGACUUUUAUUUUAGAAGAUCUGUCAACAAGUUUUUAACAAGCCUGUUACUAUAACAAACUGUUCUACUACCCUUAAACAUAUGAUGUAUAUAUAAAUGUACUAGUAACAUACGAAUAUUCAUAAUAAAACCGACUAUGUUAAUUCUGAUUAGUACAAAGUGUUUUUAUUAGUACAUCUUGCUUAUGGAGACCUAAUAAAUGUAAAUUACAGUAUAUUUAUGCCCCCCUUCGAAGAAGAGGGGGUAUAUUGCUUUGCUCAUGUCGGUCUGUCGGUCGGUCCGUCCACCAGGUGGUUGUCAGACGAUAACUCAAGAACGCUUGGGCCUAGGAUCAUGAAACUUCAUGGGUAGAUUGAUCAUGACUUGCAGAUGACCCCUAUUGAUUUUGAGGUCACUAGGUCAAAGGUCAAGGUCACGGUGACAAAAAUCGUAUACACACAAUGGCUGCCACUACAACGGACAGCCCAUAUGGGGGGCAUGCAUGUUUUACAAACAGCCCUUGUUUGUAUAUUGCAUUAAAUUGAGUUUAUUAGCCUCAUACACUCUGACGCACUUAGGAUAUAUUUAAUUACAUGUAUACUUUCGAUAAUUAUUUAUGUUCUAGUGUAAUGUAUAAUAACUCAUAAUGUAUAAUAAUUCAUGUAGGCACCGUUGUAACCAAACGAUUUUAUUUCUUUGCAUAACUUUAUUUUGUAUAAUCAUAAACUGUGUAUUGUGGAAACACUGUAUCAUGUAUGCUUGAUUUGUCCACUUGGGCUUUUGGCUUUCUGGAUGGAUUGUUUAAUAAACUAUGUUCUAAAAAAUGCAAA